rnacentral:rRNA from 1 species
UAAGACGAACCGAGCGAACGUUGUUCGGAAUCACUGGGCUUAAAGGGCGCGUAGGCGGGCAUCAUAGUCUGUGGUGAAAUCCGGCAGCUUAACUGUCGAAUUGCCAUGGAUACUGGGUGUCUCGAGGGAGGCAGGGGUGCGCGGAACUAAUGGUGGAGCGGUGAAAUGCGUUGAUAUCAUUAGGAACUCCGGUGGCGAAGGCGGCGCACUGGUCCUUUUCUGACGCUGAGGCGCGAAAGCCAGGGGAGCAAACGGGAUUAGAUACCCCGGUAGUCCUGGCCCUAAACGUUGGGUACUAGAUAGUAGGGUUCACAUGGCUUUACUGUCGAAGCAAAAGUGCUAAGUACCCCGCCUGGGGAGUAUGGUCGCAAGGCUG